ACUUCCGUCCCUCGUUCCCCCGUCACUCAACAUACUGUAGGCCGAUUUGACCGAAAACUAGCCGUUACCACUCCAUCUCCACCUUAACUUAUCCGGUCUUUGCACUACUAAAUAACUACCAACCUCAUUCCUGAGUGCCAGCAGGUCGGCUGUCAGUCCGGUCGAAAUAAGCGACUCAUCACCCAGAAUUCUAACCCAAUUCCAAUCCUGGCUAUCGUAACAAUCCCUAACCGAUAGAGGUUUACGAUUAGUCAACACGUA
rnacentral:lncRNA from 1 species